rnacentral:rRNA from 1 species
UCAAAGAUUAAGCCAUGCAAGUGAAAGUAUAUAUAUAUUUAUUAUAUAGAAACUGCGAACGGCUCAUUAAAACAGUUAUAAUCUACUUGACAUUUUUUUUAUAAGGAUAACUACGGAAAAGCUGUAGCUAAUACUUGAACGAUUGUUCUUCAGUUCCCCAAAAAGGUUCUGUAGAACACGUAUUUGUUAAGCCUAAUAAGAAAAAAGUUAUUAACUUAAGGAAUUAUAACAAAGAAGGAACACAUAAUAAAACUUUGUUUUAUUUAGUGUGUAUCAAUCGAGUUUCUGACCUAUCAGCUUUUGAUGUUAGGGUAUUGGCCUAACAUGGCUAUGACGGGUAACGGGGAAUUAGAGUUCGAUUCCGGAGAGGGAGCCUGAGAAAUAGCUACCACAUCUAAGGAAGGCAGCAGGCGCGUAAAUUACCCAAUUCUAAAGAAGAGAGGUAGUGACAAGAAAUAACAAGGUAAGGUCAAUAUUUUGGCUUUGCCAUUGGAAUGAUAGGAAUUUAAAAACUUCCUAAAGUAACAAUUGGAGGGCAAGUCUGGUGCCAGCAGCCGCGGUAAUUCCAGCUCCAAUAGCGUAUAUUAAAAUUGUUGCAGUUAAAACGCUCGUAGUUGAAUUUCAAAGAAUCAAUAAUUAGCGAAUACAAUAUCAGAUAUGUGUUAAAUAUAGUGCUUCGGCUUAUAUUUUCCACAUUUCUGAAUAUAUGUAUUGUUAAAAAUAUAAUAGGUUCUUUUAUAAAAAAUUCUUCGUUGCUUUAUGUGAUGAGAAUUUUUUGUUACUUUGAGUAAAUUAGAGUGUUCAAAGCAGACGGUUUAUAAAACAGGUAAAACUGGGUUUGAAUACUACAGCAUGGAAUAACAAAAUUGAACAAGCUAAAAUUUUUGUUCUUUUUUCUUAUUUUGGCUUAGUUACGAUUAAUAGGAGUAGUUUGGGGACAUUCGUAUUCAGAUGUCAGAGGUGAAAUUCUUAGAUUUUCUGGAGACGAACAACUGCGAAAGCAUUUGUCUAAAAUACUUCCAUUAAUCAAGAACGAAAGUUAAGGGAGUGAAGACGAUCAGAUACCGUCGUAAUCUUAACCAUAAACUAUGCCAACUAGGUGUUGGAUGAAAGUGUAAAAAAUAAAAGAUGAUCUAAUGUAACAUUUAGAUUGUCUUUUUAGCUUACUUCCUUCAGUACCUUAUGAGAAAUCAAAGUCUUUGGGUUCUGGGGCGAGUAUUCGCGCAAGCGAGAAAGUUAAAAGAAUUGACGGAAGGGCACCACCAGGCGUGGAGCUUGCGGCUUAAUUUGACUCAACACGGGAAAACUCACUAGUUUAAGACAAGAGUAGGAUUGACAGAUUAAUAGCUCUUUCUUGAUUUCUUGGAUGGUGAUGCAUGGCCGUUUUUAGUUCGUGAAUAUGAUUUGUCUGGUUAAUUCCGAUAACGAACGAGAUCUUAACCUGCUAAUUAGCGGUAAAUACAACAUAUUCUUAAGUAAAUAAGAAUAUAGAUAAAAAUAACAAAUAAGAGAAAAUAUUAGGAUGUUAUUAUAUAUAAUAUCCUUUUCCCUUUUCUUCUUAUUAUGUUUUUUUUAUUCUAUUUCUUUUUUUACUUAAGAAUGUAUUUACUUGAUUGUAAA